rnacentral:rRNA from 1 species
GACGAACGCUGGCGGCGUGCUUAACACAUGCAAGUCGAACGGAAAGGCCCUGCUUUUGUGGGGUGCUCGAGUGGCGAACGGGUGAGUAACACGUGAGUAACCUGCCCUUGGCUUUGGGAUAACUUCAGGAAACUGGGGCUAAUACCUGAUAGGAGCUCCUGCUGCAUGGUGGGGUUUGGAAAGUUUCGGCGGUUGGGGAUGGACUCGCGGCUUAUGAGCUUGUUUGUUGGGUAGUGGCUUACCAAGGCUUUGACGGGUAGCCGGCCUGAGAGGGUGACCGGGGACAUGGGGACUGAGGUACGGCCCAGACGCGUACGGGAGGCAGCAGGGGGAAAUAUUGCACAGUGGGCGGGAGCGUGAUGAAGAAACGCCGGGUGCGGGAUGACGGCCUUGGGGUUGUAAACCGCUUUAGCCUGUGACGAAGCGUGAGUGACGGUAAUGGGUAAAGAAGCACCGGCUAACUACGUG